rnacentral:lncRNA from 1 species
CUCGAACCGGCUCUGGCCCUGAUUUGUAUUGAGCUGCUCACAAAUCCCAGAUGAUUUCACACUUGGAAUUGUUGGACUCUAGUGAUUUUGUGCCCUUUUUCUUUCUGAAAAAUCGCGAAUUCGUGUUGAGUUUGAAUGCGCUAGAUGUGUCGUCCCCAAAGGUUAUGUUUAGGCCUUGGGACAUGUUGUUUUUGCACCAUGUGAUUGUGAUUAGAAGCUGGUUUUCAUUGGGGAGGAUGAUUUUGUAUAGACAAGCCACUGCAAUUUGCAACGAGGGGAUUAAAUUUGGAGAGAUACAAGAUUUAUUUAAAUAGCUACUAGAACGAGAAGCAUCAGAUACUACUCCUACUGCAUAUUCACUCAAACAAGAAGCAAAAUCCCUCAUUUUUUUUUCAAAACAAAUGAGUCCAAAAAUAGAAAAAUCUAAUGGUGGAACAGAAUUGGAGGCAAGACAGAGGUGGG